AAACCAUGAUUUGGAGACUUCUGCAAAUAUUAUUUAAAACUCUCCCAAGCUUCAUAUAGUUGCUUCCCUGGCAUUGUUUGAAUUCAUAAAUUUUGUCCAUAAAUUU